rnacentral:rRNA from 1 species
GACAGAGGGGGCAAGCGUUGUCCGGAGUUACUGGGCGUAAAGGGCGCGGAGGCGGUCUGCGGCGUCGGCGCUGAAAGCGCCCCGCUUAACGGGGCGAGGCGUGCCGAAACGCGCAGACUUGAGGCGAGAAGAGGGUGGUGGAAUUCCGGGUGGAGCGGUGAAAUGCGUAGAGAUCGGGAGGAACGCCAGUGGGGAAGCUGGCCACCUGGGCUCGUCCUGACGCUGCGGCGUGACCGCGUGGGGAGCAACCCGG